rnacentral:rRNA from 1 species
UACGGAGGGUGCAAGCGUUAUCCGGAUUUACUGGGUUUAAAGGGUGUGUAGGCGGAUUAUUAAGUCAGCGGUGAAAUCUCCGGGCUCAACCCGGAAACUGCCAUUGAUACUAUUAGUCUUGAAUAUUGUUGAGGUGGGCGGAACGGGUCAUGUAGCGGUGAAAUGCAUAGAUAUGACCCGGAACACCGAUUGCGAAGGCAGCCCACUAAGCAAUGAUUGACGCUGAGGCACGAAAGCGUGGGGAUCAAACAGGAGUUAGAAA